UACGGAGGAGGCAAGCGUUAUCCGGAAUUAUUGGGCGUAAAGCGUCCGCAGGUGGCGAUUCAAGUCUGCGGUUAAAGACUGGGGCUUAACCCUGGAAAGGCCGUGGAAACUGAAACGCUAGAGUGCAGUGAGGGAGAGGGAAUUCCCGGUGUAGCGGUGAAAUGCGUAGAGCUCGGGAAGAACAUCGGUGGCGAAAGCGCUCUGCUGGACCAUAACUGACACUCAGGGACGAAAGCUAGGGGGGCGAAUGGGAUU
rnacentral:rRNA from 1 species